rnacentral:tRNA from 1 species
GGGGAUGUGGUGUAGCCUGGUUAUCACUGGCGGUUCGGGGCCGUCCAACCCCGGUUCAAAUCCGGGCAUCCCCA